AUUGAACGCUGGCGGCACGCUUAACACAUGCAAGUCGAACGGCAGCGGUACUAACUUUCGGGUUAGUAGCCGGCGAGUGGCGGACGGGUGAGUAACGCGUGGGGAACUACCCAGAAGACUGGGACAACUCGGGGAAACUCGAGCUAAUACCGGAUAAGCUCUAAGGAGUAAAGGUUGCACUUUCGGGUGCGGUUGUUUUUGGAUGACCCUGCGUUUGAUUAGCUAGUUGGUGGGGUAAAGGCCUACCAAGGCGACGAUCGAUAGCUGGUCUUAGCGGACGAACAGCCACACUGGGACUGAGACACGGCCCAG
rnacentral:rRNA from 1 species